AUCGAGUCCAGUACGCGCUGGUGGCCAUGAUGGACAAACACGUCAACUCGCUGAUGUGGAAAAAAAUCCCACUCGCAUUGGAGAAUUCUUCCUCCUCCUCGUCCUCAUUGGCGGCAGUUACGUCGUCUCACAGGUCGAGCACAAACUCGCUGUCCUCUUCCUCUGGCUUUCUGAGCCCCUCUCCUCACCGCCUUACAGCCAGUCACAUGACAGCAAGCCCACAUUGUCGUACGGGACCACCCUAAAUGCCCGCGUGACAUCACAGAGGGCUGGAGAGCAGCUCGCUUACAGCGGAGGUGGCUCGUUCCAGACAAGUGUCCUCGUCCUCACCCCAGAUGCCUUCAGCGCACUCGUCCUCGCUGCCCUCCGCUCCCGGCUCGAACAAAUCCAUCAAAUCACGUACCGGACCCAAGCACUUCUGGGUCAAGGAGCCCUCCCCGGCUUCACUAGCUAGCUCCAGUGCUAACAACAACAGCAGCAGCAGUGACACCAGUGGUGUGAGUGUGAGCAGCAACAGCGCGAUCAGCCUUGGCUCAACAAAGAAGCGCAAGAACAGCUCUCUGAAAUACGGCGCAGAGUCCUCCCCUUCAUCAUCCUCUUCCUCUUUGAAAAAGAACUGCAUGGCGAACUCGGGCACCUCAGGGAGCAGCUUCCACUCCUCGCUAACCUCCACGGCGGCGUCUGUGGCUUUUCGUCAUCGUCAUCCUCCUCUUCCUCCCACAGUGCAGGUAUGAACUGUCCACCAGGCCGCGGAAAACUCGAUGAGCGCGCGCCAGGAAGCAGCCGAGCCCAUCAAGCGCAUGAGCGUGAUGAUGAACAGCAGCGACUCGACGCUCUCGCUCGGCCCAUUUGUGAACAACCCGGACGGGAGAACUGACACAAAGAGGAGGAAGAGUUCACAGGCCACCAGCAGCCUCACCGGCACAGCUACCUGCACAGCAUCUGCGGGAGGAGGUGGAGGGGCACAGGGGCCUGGCAGGCCAAAAAUGGCCAAGUCUCCAGCCAUCAACAACAUUCACGGCAAACACACGCGGCCCAUGCCGGGAACGCCGGGGCUCCCUAACAACUCGCUUAUACAUCAGCCAAAGGCCCGUCCCUGACACAGGUGGGCCGGCUCUGGGGGUGCGAAGCGGUGGAGCGGAGCUCCCUUAGCGCCCGUCACGGCACACUGCACGGGCCUUCUUCUUCUUCUUCUUCUUCUUCUUCUUCUUCUCUUACUCUCAGCUUCCCACAAUCCUCAGGGUGGAGGAGCGCACUGGGCCGCUCAGUGAUGGCGCGCUAUUUCUCCCGGCAACAAGGGGGGCAUCACAAAGGUGGAAAGGACACCACGAGAGGGGCACGUGUGUGUAUAUGUACGUG
ensembl:lncRNA